rnacentral:miRNA from 1 species
CUACCCUGUCUUUAAGCUG